rnacentral:rRNA from 1 species
GAUGAACGCUGGCGGCGUGCCUAAUACAUGCAAGUCGAGCGAACAGACGAGGAGCUUGCUCCUCUGACGUUAGCGGCGGACGGGUGAGUAACACGUGGAUAACCUACCUAUAAGACUGGGAUAACUUCGGGAAACCGGAGCUAAUACCGGAUAAUAUAUUGAACCGCAUGGUUCAAUAGUGAAAGACGGUUUUGCUGUCACUUAUAGAUGGAUCCGCGCCGCAUUAGCUAGUUGGUAAGGUAACGGCUUACCAAGGCAACGAUGCGUAGCCGACCUGAGAGGGUGAAUGGGCAAAACGGAAACGAGAAAAGGUCCAGAAUCCUAAGGGAGGCAGCAGUAGGGAAUCUUCCGCAAUGGGCGAAAGCCUGACGGAGCAACGCCGCGUGAGUGAUGAAGGUCUUCGGAUCGUAAAACUCUGUUAUUAGGGAAGAACAAAUGUGUAAGUAACUAUGCACGUCUUGACGGUACCUAAUCAGAAAGCCACGGCUAACUACGUG